rnacentral:lncRNA from 1 species
GUCACACUCCUGUACUCUCAUCAGGGUUUAUAUAUGGUGGGCUAAGAGGAGUGUUGAGUGUUAGCUAUGGGGCAGGACAGAUGGGGUGGCCCAGCUGCCAUCUGUUUACAUGAGGAACAGGAAGCUGUCCUCCUGCCCUGGCCUCCCAAAGUGCUGCGAUUACAGGAGUAAGGCACUACUCUCGACCUUUGUUUUUUCAAUUGUCUUGUUUUUGAGACAGGGUCUUGCUCUGUCACCCAGGCUGGAGUGCAGUGGCACUAUCGCAGCUCACUGCAGCCUUGACCUUCCCAGCUCAAGCAACCCUCUCACCUCAACCUUUCAAGUAGCUGGGACUUUAGGCACACGCCGCCAUGCCUGGCUAGUUUUUGUAUUUUUAGUAGAGAUGGAGUUUCACCAUGUUGCCCAGGCUGGUCUCAAACUCCUGGGCUCAAGCGAUCUGCCCACCUCAGCUUCCCAAAGUGCUGGGUUACAGGUGUGAGGCACCACACCCAGCCUUCUAAUCUUUUCAUAGAAAACAUUAAUACUUGUGUACUUACGCCAAACCACAGUCUGGAUAGUAACAGGAAGUUUGCAUUUUGUUUAUCUCUGGGCAGGAUGAAGGAAGGUAGGUGGGGGUGGGGAAGGAUUGUGGGUGAUUUUUAUUUUCUUUGUAUUUAGCAAUAUUUUCUGCUUUAUGUGAAGUAGACAUAUUUUCUUUGUAUUAAAAGAGCAAAAUAAAUUUGUUUUCUUUAAAAGCAAAACAAGAAAAAACAGGAAACUCUGCAGGUGACAAGUGGGUCCAUAAUAGGGAGCCAGCCACGGAGGUGAGAUAAGGGGGGAGUCCUUCGAAAGUGGCCUGGGGAGUAGGAGAGAGUGGGAACUUCCCCUGGAAACAUUCCCUCUUUCAUGUCUUUCUGGCCCCUUGACUUGAGAGUGCUUGACUUGGUUAUGGUCCCACCCCAAGGGGUGGAAGUGGGGACCGAACAGGACCAUUGUCUGCCCAUCAGGUCUGUGGGGGUCGAGGGGGAGGUGGGGAGUACUGGGAACCUGGAGACUGGGGAUGCUUUCUCACACUCACUAGUACUAGAAGAUGGGGAAGGUGAACCAGGCUGGAGGUCGAGUUAACAGGGUAAAGAGGCCAGGGCCCUAGUUUCGCAUCCGCCGACUGGCAGCUCUUCUUACGUGUUCUUUCACGGAAGCCCCUCCUUGGGAAGCCCCGCGCCCCACCCACCAGGAGUCGUCCCUUUUUGGGCGGGGCUGAGGCUUCCAGGCUGGGUCCUGAGAAAGUUUGGUGGCCGGAGACUGUGGGGCGCUUAGGUACCGACCUAACAACUUCUGCGCCUGUUUCCAGGGACGAGCCACGCACGGUGCCCCCUGAACACCUAACAGUCCCGGGGGCAGCCCCACCUCUGGCUGGGUGGACAGAGACAGCCUGUGGGCGUGGCCCAGAACUGAAAGCCUGUGACUCCUUGCGACCCGCCGGGCACACCCCCUACUCAGCUACGCAGCUCCCACUAGCCCACCCUCAAGCUGGGGUUUCGCACGUGCGAUCGGCUGGGGUGGGCAAGGGGGUCUCCGCUCAAGGAAAGUAUUCAGAACCAGCCCCUUCU